AUGGCCCUGUUAGCUAGUUCCACCCUCAUAGCCAUUACCCUCCUCGUUGUCAUUCCCUCCACUCUCGCCGAUGCCAAAUUCAUCUCCGAAGUAUGCGACGGCAUUAGUGACCGUCCCGACUGCGUGGAGGUGCUCAGCUCCGACCCACAGAGCGUGAAUGCGACCACCAGGGAAGAGCUCCAAAGCAUCUCACUGGACAUCUGCACUGCUGCCGCCAGGGAAGGCGAAAAGACCUGCGAGGAAGAGAAGGCCAAGCACGAGCACGAGCGCGAUGAGAAACUGGGGUUGGCACUGAACAUGUGUAGCAGCGAAUACAACCAAGCCGGCCAUACCCUCGAGAACGCACGCACGGACUUCGGCAACCAUGCUUACAACGAAGCGGCACGAAAGAUUGGCGAGGCUAGCUUAGCCGCAGAUAAUUGCGAGAAGGCGUUUUAUAAUCAGGGGGCGAACAACGUCAUGAAACAAAUGAACAAGAAAAUGUAUGAUCGGUGCGACAUCUGCUGGCAGCUUAUAUUUUGA
rnacentral:rRNA from 1 species